rnacentral:lncRNA from 1 species
AAUAGGUGCUAAAUGGGUAACAGGGAGGCUGCCGUGAGAAAUGCCACUUAUCAAAGCAUUAGCACUUGGCAAGGAAAAGCAGGGGGAAGAAAUGAGGGACCCAGUCCCAGCACUGUGACAGACACUAGAGGGGCUGAGAAGUGGCACAGCUGGCGCAGGGUGUUGGAGCCGGGCUGCACUGCAGCACGCCCUGACCUGGCUGACAGAGAGAGGAUGAGUUUAGCAAUACUGUUUACUAUACAGAACACAUUUUCCUCUGUGAUUUUGCUGCAAAUAUUUUGUCGUUUUCAAUUUCGAUUUGCGUUUGGAAUAACACGAGAAGCUCUUUUUCUAUGUUUUCUUUCUUAUUUUCUUUCCUUUUCUUUCUUUCUUUCUUUCUUUUUUUUUUUUUCUUUCUUUCUUUUUUUUUUUUUUUUUAAGGGAAUCACAAUUCUUACACAUGAAAAGACUCAUAGCCAUCUCCAGAGGACCGUGGAGGAUGGGGGUCAGCUCUCCUCCAGCCGGGAUGACGACCCUGCCCCUAUUUCUGCCUGGGGAAGGGCAAGAUGCACUGAGUAAGGACCCCGUCAUCCUCUCACCGGACCUGCAAUGAACAGAGCCAGGCCCAUCUCACAUACUUUCCAUUAGCAGCUCAAAAGAUUUAGGGGUAUGUAUAUAAGUUUAUAUGUAUACCGACGUACUUUUGUUGCAUAAGAAUCCCUCUGGAGUUGCUGCAGAUCUUUCCACUGAGCUCAGCAGGGCUGGGCCUCCCGUCUCCUGUGGGAUGCUCCUUAUGUGCAGCAGCACGUUCCGCCAGUUGGCUUCCAAGCAGCCCCUGCAGCUCCCUCUGCACAGAACCAGGGCGAUGUGCCCCCCAGCACUGUGGGAUGGGUAUCCUGCUGGGGUAUCUCUGCUGCCCGCCACUUCUCAGCAGCAGUUCUUUGUGCUGCUAACAGGGCUGUGUGCAUGGAGAGCAUCAGGUAGUGCUGUUUGGGCAAACAGGCGUGUGCAGCAUCUGGAUGUUGAUAGAGGAAAAAGAAAAAAAUCCCACCAUGAUUAAUGGGGAAACGUGAUUUGAUAACUUCCGACAAACGCAGUAAAUGCCACUUCUUACAAAUGAACGCCAGCAAUCAAUUUAAUUUCUCAAGUAAAAUGAUUAAAUUGCUGUUAUUGUGGGAUCAUUAUUUUAUUGCUAAAACCUUUUAAAAUGUUAAUUAUUGUGCCCCUUGAAAAGCUUUCAUCUUGCCUGACUUUGGUCUGACACAAAAAAAUGUCUCUGGCUGUGACUUGGAAUUGAAUGAAUGUCGGUGCUUUACCUUUUCUCUCUCCCCCUCUCUCUUUUGCUCUUUUUUUUUUUUUUUUGACACCUGCAACUAUUCUCCUUGGCUGUAAUAUUUAUAUGAAUUUAACUUUAAUUUUUCUCUGCUUU